UGGGGAAUAUUGCACAAUGGGCGCAAGCCUGAUGCAGCCAUGCCGCGUGUAUGAAGAAGGCCUUCGGGUUGUAAAGUACUUUCAGCGGGGAGGAAGGGAGUAAAGUUAAUACCUUUGCUCAUUGACGUUACCCGCAGAAGAAGCACCGGCUAACUCCGUGCCAGCAGCCGCGGUAAUACGGAGGGUGCAAGCGUUAAUCGGAAUUACUGGGCGUAAAGCGUACGCAGGCGGUUUGUUAAGUCAGAUGUGAAAGCCCCGGGCUCAACCUGGGAACUGCAUCUGAUACUGGCAAGCUUGAGUCUCGUAGAGGUGGGUAGAAUUCCAGGUGUAGCGGUGAAAUGCGUAGAGAUCUGGAGGAAUACCGGUGGCGAAGGCGGCCCCCUUGACGAAGACUGACGCUCAGGUGCGAAAGCGUGGGGAGCAAACAGG
rnacentral:rRNA from 1 species